rnacentral:tRNA from 1 species
CCCUGCGUGGUACAAAUGGUUAAUGUGCUCGGCUGCUAACCGAGAGGUUGGUGGUUCAAGUUUACCCAGAGGCA